rnacentral:rRNA from 1 species
GACGAACGCUGGCGGCGUGCUUAACACAUGCAAGUCGUGCGGAAAGGCCCCUUUUUGGGGUGCUCGAGCGGCGAACGGGUGAGUAACACGUGAGUAACCUGCCCUGCGCUUGGGGAUAACCCUCGGAAACGGGGGCUAAUACCGGAUGGUCACAUGCUGUCGCAUGGUGGUGUGUGGAAAGGAUUUCGGUUUGGCGUGGGAUGGGCUCGCGGCCCAUCAGCUUGUUGGUGGGGUGAUGGCCACCAAGGCGACGACGGGUAGCCGGCCUGAGAGGGCGACCGGCCACACUGGGACUGAGACACGGCCCAGACUCCUACGGGAGGCAGCAGUGGGGAAUAUUGCACAAUGGGCGCAAGCCUGAUGCAGCGACGCCGCGUGGGGAUGACGGCCU